AUUGAACGCUGGCGGCAGGCCUAACACAUGCAAGUCGAGCGGAUGAAGGGGGCUUGCUCCUGGAUUCAGCGGCGGACGGGUGAGUAAUGCGCAGGAAUCUACCUAGUAGUGGGGGAUAACGUUUCGAAAGGGACGCUAAUACCGCAUACGUUCUGAGGAAGAAAGCAGGGGAUCGUAAGACCUUGCGCUAUUAGAUGAGCUUGCGUCCGAUUAGCUAGUUGGUGGGGUAAAGGCCUACCAAGGCGACGAUCGGUAACUGGUCUGAGAGGAUGAUCAGUCACACUGGAACUGAGACACGGUCCAGACUCCUACGGGAGGCAGCAGUGGGGAAUAUUGGACAAUGGGGGCAACCUUGAUCCAGCCAUGCCGCGUGUGUGAAGAAGGCCUUCGGUUGUAAAGCACUUUCACCGACUGAAGAUAAUGACGGUAGUCGGAGAAGAAGCCCCGGCUAACUUCGUG
rnacentral:rRNA from 1 species